rnacentral:rRNA from 1 species
AUUGAACGCUGGCGGCAUGCCUUACACAUGCAAGUCGAACGGCAGCGGGGGUAGCUUGCUACCUGCCGGCGAGUGGCGAACGGGUGAGUAAUACAUCGGAACGUGCCCUGUAGUGGGGGAUAACUAGUCGAAAGACUAGCCAAUACUGCAUACGACCUGAGGGUGAAAGUGGGGGACCGCAAGGCCUCAUGCUAUAGGAGCGGCCGAUGUCUGAUUAGCUAGUUGGUGGGGUAAAGGCCCACCAAGGCGACGAUCAGUAGCUGGUCUGAGAGGACGAUCAGCCACACUGGGACUGAGACACGGCCCAGACUCCUACGGGAGGCAGCAGUGGGGAAUUUUGGACAAUGGGGGCAACCCUGAUCCAGCAAUGCCGCGUGUGUGAAGAAGGCCUUCGGGUUGUAAAGCACUUUUGUCCGGAAAGAAAUCGCACUGGUUAAUACCUGGUGUGGAUGACGGUACCGGAAGAAAAAGGACCGGCUAACUACGUGCCAGCAGCCGCAGUAA